CCUUGCCAGCCCGCUCAGAAACUCAAAGGAAUUGACGGGGCCCGCACAAGCGGUGGAGUAUGUGGUUUAAUCGAUGCAACGCGAAGAACCUUACCUGGUCUUGACAUCCCGGAGACCCUUAGGAAACUAGGGGGUGCUUCCAUCUGGAAGAAUCUGGAGACAGGUGCUGCAUGGCUGUCGUCAGCUCGUGUCGUGAGAUGUUGGGUUAAGUCCCGCAACGAGCGCAACCCUUGCCUUUAGUUGCCAGCAGUUCGGCUGGGCACUCUAAAGGGACUGCCGGUGUUAAACCGGAGGAAGGUGGGGAUGACGUCAAGUCCUCAUGGCCUUUAUGACCAGGGCUACACACGUACUACAAUGGCCGAUACAAAGGGCAGCGACACUGCGAGGUGAAGCCAAUCCCGUAAAAUCGGUCUCAGUCCGGAUUGGAGUCUGCAACUCGACUCCAUGAAGUUGGAAUCGCUAGUAAUCGUGGAUCAGCAUGCCACGGUGAAUACGUUCCCGGGCCUU
rnacentral:rRNA from 1 species